rnacentral:rRNA from 1 species
GAAUGCUGACAUAAGUAACGAUAAAGCGGGUGAAAAGCCCGCUCGCCGGAAGACCAAGGGUUCCUGUCCAACGUUAAUCGGGGCAGGGUGAGUCGACCCCUAAGGCGAGGCCGAAAGGCGUAGUCGAUGGGAAACGGGUUAAUAUUCCCGUACUUGGUGUUACUGCGAAGGGGGGACGGAGAAGGCUAUGUUGGCCGGGCGACGGUUGUCCCGGUUUAAGCGUGUAGGUGUGUGUUCCAGGUAAAUCCGGUUCACUUUAACACUGAGGCGUGACGACGAGGCACUACGGUGCUGAAGCAACAAAUGCCCUGCUUCCAGGAAAAGCCUCUAAGCAUCAGGUAACACGAAAUCGUACCCCAAACCGACACAGGUGGUCAGG